rnacentral:lncRNA from 13 species
AUGCACUUCCUUUACUUAGAGCUUCAACAGUAUUUUUAGGAUCAUGUUGUAUAGUGCCUUGGGUAUGAGAAAUACGCUCUACAAUUGUGUUAUGCUGAUUAUUAGGUCGUCAGCUUCCUGGGCGUGGCCUGUUCUUCCGCCUCAGUCUUCACACUGGCUGCGCUCGCCGUGACCCGCUACCUGACUGUGGUCCACCCCGCCUGGUCCUUCCGCUCUCGCAUGCACAGCCGCCUCAAACUGACCGUGGCGCUCCUCUGGGUUCCCGCCGUAGCCCUGGCAGCUCCGCAGUUUGCUUUCCGCACGGUGGCGGUAUCCAGCGCGUUACACUGCUUCGCCUUCCUGGGUGGCCUCGGUCAGCUGGUGUACAGCACAGCGUUGUUCCUGUUUGGCUUCGCGAUACCAUUGGGGGUUAUUGUGAUGAUGUACGCCAAGAUCUACUGCUUCCUGCGCCAGACGAGAGUGUCGGGACGUGCCCCCCAGCUGGAGCGCUACCAAAGCCAGGUGACCCACACGUCAGCGCUGCUGGUGCUGGUCUUCACCCUCUGCUGGCUGCCCUCCUACGGCCUCAUGUUCUCCCUCUUGGGGGUCAAGAUCUCUGGUGUCUCCAGCUACCGCUCCAUAGCAAUCUUCAUCCGCCUACUGGCGUCUUCAGCCGCGGUGGUUAACCCCGUCCUCUACGUGUUCAUGUCCAAUAAGUUCAGGAGGGAUCUGAUGGACUUGGGCCGGGAGAGAUGGGAGGGUUGCAGGGGGUGUACGGCAGGGUGCCCGGGGGUGUUCAGGGGCAGGGACAUGGUGCGGCCCUUCAACCCCGUGGAGCUGGAUACGCCAACCCUACCCUUACCCGGAUUCUAA